UACGUAGGUGGCAAGCGUUGUCCGGAUUUAUUGGGUUUAAAGGGUGCGUAGGUGGCCUUGUAAGUCAGUGCUGAAAUAUCCCGGCUUAACCGGGAGGGUGGCAUUGAUACUGCAGGGCUUGAGUGAAGUCGAGGUAGGCGGAAUUGACGGUGUAGCGGUGAAAUGCUUAGAUAUCGUCAAGAACACCGAUAGUGUAGACAGCUUACUAGGCUUUAACUGACACUGAGGCACGAAAGUGUGGGGAUCAAACAGG
rnacentral:rRNA from 1 species